rnacentral:rRNA from 1 species
AUUGAACGCUGGCGGCAGGCCUAACACAUGCAAGUCGAGCGAGCGGCGGAAGGGUGAGUAAUGUCUGGGAAACUGCCUCUUGUAGGGGGAUAACUCCUGUAAACGGUAGCUAAUACCGCAUACCCUCAGAUGUGCCCAGAUGGGAUUAGCUAGUAGAUGGGGUAACGGCUCACCUCGGCGACGAUCCCUAGAUGGUCUGAGAGGAUGACCAGCACCACUGGAACUUAGACACGGUCCAGACUCCUACGGGAGGCAGCAGUGGGGAAUAUUGCACAAUGGGCGCAAGCCUGAUGCAGCCAUGCCGCGUGUGUGAAGAAGGCCUUCGGGUUGUAAAGCACUUUCAGCGGGGAGGCGUUACCCGCAGAAGAAGCACCGGCUAACUCCGUGCCAGCAGCCGCGGUAAUUC